ACGGGAGACACACGGCGGGUGCUAACGUCCGUCGUGAAGAGGGAAACAACCCAGACCGCCAGCUAAGGUCCCAAAGUCAUGGUUAAGUGGGAAACGAUGUGGGAAGGCCCAGACAGCCAGGAUGUUGGCUUAGAAGCAGCCAUCAUUUAAAGAAAGCGUAAUAGCUCACUGGUCGAGUCGGCCUGCGCGGAAGAUGUAACGGGGCUAAACCAUGCACCGAAGCUGCGGCAGCGACACUGUGUGUUGUUGGGUAGGGGAGCGUUCUGUAAGCCUGUGAAGGUGUGUCGUGAGGCAUGCUGGAGGUAUCAGAAGUGCGAAUGCUGACAUAAGUAACGAUAAAGCGGGUGAAAAGCCCGCUCGCCGGAAGACCAAGGGUUCCUGUCCAACGUUAAUCGGGGCAGGGUGAGUCGACCCCUAAGGCGAGGCCGAAAGGCGUAGUCGAUGGGAAACGGGUUAAUAUUCCCGUACUUGGUGUUACUGCGAAGGGGGGACGGAGAAGGCUAUGUUGGCCGGGCGACGGUUGUCCCGGUUUAAGCGUGUAGGUGUGUGUUCCAGGUAAAUCCGGUUCACUUUAACACUGAGGCGUGACGACGAGGCACUACGGUGCUGAAGCAACAAAUGCCCUGCUUCCAGGAAAAGCCUCUAAGCAUCAGGUAACAUCAAAUCGUACCCCAAACCGACACAGGUGGUCAGGUAGAGAAUACCAAGGCGCUUGAGAGAACUCGGGUGAAGGAACUAGGCAAAAUGGUGCCGUAACUUCGGGAGAAGGCACGCUGACACGUAGGUGAAGUGAUUUACUCAUGGAGCUGAAGUCAGUCGAAGAUACCAGCUGGCUGCAACUGUUUAUUAAAAACACAGCACUGUGCAAACACGAAAGUGGACGUAUACGGUGUGACGCCUGCCCGGUGCCGGAAGGUUAAUUGAUGGGGUCAGCGCAAGCGAAGCUCCUGAUCGAAGCCCCGGUAAACGGCGGCCGUAACUAUAACGGUCCUAAGGUAGCGAAAUUCCUUGUCGGGUAAGUUCCGACCUGCACGAAUGGCGUAAUGAUGGCCAGGCUGUCUCCACCCGAGACUCAGUGAAAUUGAACUCGCUGUGAAGAUGCAGUGUACCCGCGGCAAGACGGAAAGACCCCGUGAACCUUUACUAUAGCUUGACACUGAACAUUGAGCCUUGAUGUGUAGGAUAGGUGGGAGGCUUUGAAGUGUGGACGCCAGUCUGCAUGGAGCCGACCUUGAAAUACCACCCUUUAAUGUUUGAUGUUCUAACGUGGACCCGUUACCCGGGUUGCGGACAGUGUCUGGUGGGUAGUUUGACUGGGGCGGUCUCCUCCUAAAGAGUAACGGAGGAGCACGAAGGUUGGCUAAUCCUGGUCGGACAUCAGGAGGUUAGUGCAAUGGCAUAAGCCAGCUUGACUGCGAGCGUGACGGCGCGAGCAGGUGCGAAAGCAGGUCAUAGUGAUCCGGUGGUUCUGAAUGGAAGGGCCAUCGCUCAACGGAUAAAAGGUACUCCGGGGAUAACAGGCUGAUACCGCCCAAGAGUUCAUAUCGACGGCGGUGUUUGGCACCUCGAUGUCGGCUCAUCACAUCCUGGGGCUGAAGUAGGUCCCAAGGGUAUGGCUGUUCGCCAUUUAAAGUGGUACGCGAGCUGGGUUUAGAACGUCGUGAGACAGUUCGGUCCCUAUCUGCCGUGGGCGCUGGAGAACUGAGGGGGGCUGCUCCUAGUACGAGAGGACCGGAGUGGACGCAUCACUGGUGUUCGGGUUGUCAUGCCAAUGGCACUGCCCGGUAGCUAAAUGCGGAAGAGAUAAGUGCUGAAAGCAUCUAAGCACGAAACUUGCCCCGAG
rnacentral:rRNA from 1 species